rnacentral:rRNA from 1 species
UACAGAGGUCUCAAGCGUUGUUCGGAUUCAUUGGGCGUAAAGGGUGCGUAGGCGGCGCGGUAAGUCGGAUGUGAAAUCUCGGAGCUUAACUUCGAAACUGCAUUCGAUACUGCCGUGCUUGAGGACUGGAGAGGAGACUGGAAUUUACGGUGUAGCGGUGAAAUGCGUAGAUAUCGUAAGGAAGACCAGUGGCGAAGGCGGGUCUCUGGACAGUUCCUGACGCUGAGGCACGAAAGCGUGGGGAGCAAACAGG